ACCUGCACUCCCUGCAUUGGAAGGCAGAAUCUUAACCACUGGACCAUGAGGGAAGUCCCCGACUUAUUUAAUGUUGUAUCAAGGCUAUUCUCUUCAUGCUGUACUUGUUUCUGUUGGACAUCUAUUAGUGUGCUUUCAUAAGCAGAAAUGUGAAGAAAUGGUAUCAAGUAUGUGUAGUAAAUUCACCUACUUUCCAGACUACAUUCAAAGAUUGUGACAUAAGCAGAGGUAUGGCCAAGUUUGGGCUAUUUGUGACCAUUUAUCCAAAUUAUGGUAAGUCUACUAGGUUAAAACCCUAGGUGAGUCUGAUGAAAAGUAUUCUUUUUUCCUUUUUCUGUUUGUAUAACAUUCACAUUCGUCUAAGUUGGCGUUUAGAUAAGGUAACUCUAUUUGCCAAGAGUGAGGAAUAAAACCUGUUAAGUGGGUGCAACACACUUCCUUUCUGCCCGUUCAUUCAGCAGGCUCUAUAGUGAAAUGGCAAAGAGCCUUUAUUCAAAUGGUGGGUGCCAUGCUGUGGUGAUACAGAUGGAUUUUUCACAACGUGCAGAAGUGCUUAUAAAUAGAUAGGUUUCAAUCAACAAGCAGCUUAUUCAGGCAUGUGCUCAAAUAUAGUAGCUGCAUUCAUUAGAUAGACAUUUCCACUAAUCCCAAGACUAUACUAAUAAAAGAGUAAUCCUUUAUGGGCUAAAGGUAGUGCUGGCUUGCUUUUAACUCUUAGAGAGUCUUUCACAGACCAAGGCCUAAUAAUAAUUGUAGCUGCAUUAGGUUUUCACCAAGUGGACUAUAAAAGCUGAGCUUAUCUUGAAAUUUUUUCUUUUUUUUUAAAAUUGCAGUAGCUUAGUGGACAAAGAGGUGCUUUUUACUCAGGAUAUGCAGCUCACAGCAAAGCCAAUUGAGAAACCAGUUUUGUGUGCAUUUGUGUGUGUGUUCUCAUUACUUUAUUAUAAAGUGCCUUCUCUUUCACCGUGGUUAAUAAAGUGGUUAAUAAAGAGUUCGCUUGAGCAGAUUCUGUCUUUCCCUUUGACUUUAGGAUAAAUAACAAGUUAAUGUCAAUUUUGAGGAGAUUUGAAAACUCUUAGUAGAGUGAUUGGACUUUCUAUGUGGACCUUUUUGGGAUUGGAUUUGUCCAACAAGGUCUUCACUCCUCCCACACUGUUCAGAGCUAGCUGUAAUUAGUUCACUUUGCACAACACUAAAAUUUUUCUCUUGCCAGUGAUGUCAGAUCUGCCUUCCUUUUUAUUAUUCUGACUUUUUAUAAACACAGUGACCUGUGAGUCAACCAUACCAUCUCUUGGCCAUGUGCCAACAUUGUGAUUUAUGAAGAGGGACUCCCGCCAAGUACUGUGAGGCAGAAAGCUGCUAUUAUGAAAGUGGUCCUCUGAACGGAAUGUAGCUGGUACAUUCUUCAAGUGAAAGAGGCAAUCCUAGGAAGGCAUAUGAACCAGACCAGACAGAAUGAAGAGUAUCUUAUUUCAUCUGCACAGAACAAAAGAGCGUCUUUCCUUUCCCAGCGCCUGUGCAAGUCUGAGGACUUGAAUGAAAGCAGACUGGCUGAGCUUCGUCCUGAGGACAGAGUCACAGCUGGCCGGGGAGAGGGGCCCACUGAGGCAGACCUUCUCCCUUGCUGGCUUUGAUAAAAUGGACCUGCCUGUUGGAGAGGCCCAGGUGGUCAGGAACUGAGGGUGGCCUCGGGCCAGUAGUCCGCCAAGCCCUAAAGGAAGCAAGGAUCUGAGGCAGCCCUUCAGUCCAGCAACCUUCAAGAAACUGAAUUCUGCCAAAAAUUACUUGUGCUUGGAAGCAGGUCCUUCCUCAGGGGGACUGAGCCUUUCCUGACAAGAGAGAUUCUCCUACCGGCCUUAAAGAAGCAAGUUGCUAAUAGUUCUGCAGCCACAAGGAAUGGAAUUCUGCCGACAGCCAGUGACCUUGGAAGAGGACCCUGAGCCUCGGAUGAGACCCCAGCUCUGGCUAAUACCUCGAUUGCAGCCUGGUGAGACCCAGAGCAGAAGACCAAGGUGUAUGCUUGGGUCCAGCCUGGAAAACAUCGCUGAAAGUUACUUGUGUAGCACCUCGUGCGUCUGUGAGGAGCUUGCUGCUGUUGACUUUCACCUCUGCUUUUGCCAAACAGGGCUGGAACUGUGGUCUCCCAGACUGGAGAGUGUCAAUCAAACCUUCACUCUAUGGAUAACCCACAAGGACAGCCUCGUAGUUCUGAACCACAGCAGGUGAGGUAAUUGAGACUCGGCAGAGAAUCUGUGGCCAAAUGACAGCCUGCAACGCCGGGAAGAGCAUUGCGUCCACUUCAGCAUGAUCGUGGCAUGAAGAAAAAUCUGGCUUCACCACAGUAAGAGCCAGGGGGUGGUCGGAGUGGACCUGGGAACAGCACAGCCCAGGGAGACUGAGGAGAGCCUCCAGGAACAGGAAGAGGAUCCCCAAGAGGUAGCCAGGAGGAACUUCUAUGACCCCUUAGGUGUUCACAAGAUGAGAGUUUCUCAACUUGCCACUCCACACGCCAGCCCUCUUUUCUGCCG